AGUAAAAUGGCUGAAAUUAAGGUGAUAAAUUGUAAAUUUAUUUAUGAAUAAUAAUCUUUUACUA
rnacentral:tRNA from 1 species